rnacentral:rRNA from 1 species
UGGGGAAUUUUGGACAAUGGGGGAAACCCUGAUCCAGCCAUCCCGCGUGUGCGAUGAAGGCCUUCGGGUUGUAAAGCACUUUUGGCAGGAAAGAAACGUCAUGGGUUAAUACCCCGUGAAACUGACGGUACCUGCAGAAUAAGCACCGGCUAACUACGUGCCAGCAGCCGCGGUAAUACGUAGGGUGCAAGCGUUAAUCGGAAUUACUGGGCGUAAAGCGUGCGCAGGCGGUUCGGAAAGAAAGAUGUGAAAUCCCAGAGCUCAACUUUGGAACUGCAUUUUUAACUACCGGGCUAGAGUGUGUCAGAGGGAGGUGGAAUUCCGCGUGUAGCAGUGAAAUGCGUAGAUAUGCGGAGGAACACCGAUGGCGAAGGCAGCCUCCUGGGAUAACACUGACGCUCAUGCGCGAAAGCGUAGGGAGCAAACAGG